rnacentral:lncRNA from 1 species
CCAAAGUGAAAUUUUGUACUAAGACUGGCAGCACAUAACAAAUCACUAUACACUAGGAAUGGGUUGGCCAAAUGGGGCAUAGUUUUUAUCCCAAUUCCUAUGUGCCCCUUAAGCAACUCAGAUGAUGAAUGAGUAUAACACUUGUUCUUCCAAUGUGAUAUUUCAGCUGAGAUGUUGCACAAAAUCCUACAGUGGCCAGGGAUCAAGUGACAAGUACUUGGUUGAAGUUUUGUUUAAUUCCUUACUUGGUCACGAAAUCAAUUAGUUACCACAAAAGAAAUACAAAUUCCCCUCAAAACCUCUUCCAUGUAUUAUAAUUCCACGAGUAAUUCCAGUCCAAAUGGAGGUGCCUCAACUGCAGCAUCUUCAAAAUUUCGGAUGGCAAUAUCAAAGGAUAUUCCUCUGUGAGAAGACAACUCGCAAAAGGUGAUCAGUAAAGCAGUAAAGUUUGCAGAAAACAUAGCCUUG